AAUAACUUAUUUAGUUUCAUUCGUAUAUUCUUAGAGAUAUGGUCUAAGAGUUUCUACUAGGAGCCGUGAAAUCCUAACUACGAAUGGGUGGAUUCACUCU
rnacentral:ncRNA from 2 species